GGGAGGUAGUGGACAAUAAAUAACAAUACGGGGUUCUUUAGGAUCUCGUAAUUGGAAUGAGUACAAUUUAAAUCUCUUAACGAGGAACAAUUGGAGGGCAAGUCUGGUGCCAGCAGCCGCGGUAAUUCCAGCUCCAAUAGCGUAUAUUAAAGUUGUUGCAGUUAAAAAGCUCGUAGUUGAAUUUCGGGGUUAGUAGGUUGGUCAUGCCUCUGGUAUGUACUGGUCUCACUGAUUCCUCCUUCCUUAUGAACCGUAAUGCCAUUAAUUUGGUGUUGCGGGGAAUUUGGACUGUUACUUUGAAAAAAUUAGAGUGUUUAAAGCAAGCUAACGCUUGAAUACAUUAGCAUGGAAUAAUGAAAUAGGACGUUCGAUCUUAUUUUGUUGGUUUCUAGGAUUGACGUAAUGAUUAAUAGGGAUAGUUGGG
rnacentral:rRNA from 1 species